rnacentral:lncRNA from 1 species
UCUAAAUUACUGACCUGGGAUGUGAAAGAAAAAUGCAGAACUCAACUUCUAGUAAUACUUUUCAUUCAUUGCUAAACCCAUUUUUGCCAUAAAAUGUAGCAAUCAUAUUGGACCAAAUGGAAUAAUGAAAAUUCAAGUCCCAAACUACAUCAUCAACAUAUUGCAUGGAACUUGAAUCCUGAUGGUAGUUUACCAGAUUUGGGACUCGUCGAACCGUAAAUUCAUGAUUUGAAUCACAGUUCUUCGAGAACACAAACGCCUUGCUUGAAUUCUAAAAAAUAUACCAGAAAAUGUGAUACAAAACUCAGACUUUGGAAGAAAACAUAAGCUAAACAUAAAUACCAACUUCAAUCAGAUCUAACAGUCUGUGAAAUAAACAAUCUUGAGUCAACAGCAUCUAAACCAGUCCAACUAUUGACCUCGAGACAAACGAAUAGUAAAAUGACUACAUAUAAAGAACUUAUACUGAGAUGGACAUUUAGACUAAGCUACUAUGUCGUACGACAUUCAGAGGUUAAAUGUUGAUCCUAUUGUUCAUAGUUUGAAAGGUAGUAAGUGGAAUUUCCAAACAAAACAGAGUAGACAAGUAUGUUAUAUUGUUAAUCUAAACUCAAACUGAAUACAACUCAAAGCUCCAGAUUCCAUUUUUGAUUCCCACAUCAAGUUUUACAUUCGAAUAGAGUACAGAAAUGUGUACCUGGGAAUGAACAAAGACAAGAAAUGAAAAAUCAACAGGAGCAACAACAAGAACCAGCACCGAAAUAGCCAGCAAAACCAGUCCCAACCCAUAAAUGAUGUAUAACAACUCAAUAUAACAAACCCGAACACACGACAGCCCAACAAAACUUUAGACCCAAAUUUUGAUGACCAAGUUCAGUCCAUUUCCCUCUCGGAUGAGUAAAAAUAGUUUCAGAAGUUGAAAAGGAAUCAACAAUCGCUGAAAUUCAAUGAAACAGUAAAAAUUUCUGCCAUUUUUUUUGUAUUUUUUUGAACUUUUUCCCUUUUUCAAUACUUUCCGUCUCCAACCCCCCCCCCCCCCUCAAAAAAUCUCCCUUGAGUCUCAACUUAGGAUCCAUUUAUAGGAAAGCUAUUAGGGCAGCUUAAAAGGGUUCAAUUUUACACUUGAAACCUUUUGAAAUUUUCAAUUUAGCUCAGAUACCCUCAGUUAAAAAUCAGAAAUUCAGAAUGGUCCCCUUUCCCCAGCUUUCUAGAAGCUUCAUAUUCAGUUAAAUGAGAUUCCCCCACAUAGACUUCCCAAAUUGCCCCUAAGCCCCUGUUAAUAUACCAGACAGGCCAAAUGGGUCAUGGGUCAAUUUUGACCCAACUGUUCAGACCCAAAUGAGCCUGAUUUGACCCAACACCUAACCCACCAGACCAGAAAUCUAUUCGUCCCAACUAGCAAUUAUCUAAUUAACAAGUUAUAAACACCAAAUAACGCGGGACAAUUAAACCUUUAGCCUAAAUGAUUUACUAACUAAACUUAACCAUCUUAACAAUUUUAAAACUAAUCUGAUUACAGCCUAACUAUACUAAUUAAGAAAAAGACUCCAAUUACUCAUGCAUGAAUAAACAAACUCCGGAACAAAUAAAAAAUGAUUCAAGAAGAGGGGAAGAAACAGAAAAUAGAAAAACAAACGAAGGACAAAUUAAACCAAAAGAAGAAAAGAAAAUACAUACGAAAACUUCAGAAAAUGAAAAAAGGGGCCUGGGUCUUCAAAUCCUCGGAUUUUCUGGUCAAACGUGAUGUUAAUCGUGUGCUCUUACGAAGAACACACGAAUAAAAUCUGAUUAGACACGAAACUUCGCCAAAACUCGGCUUUGGAAUUUCUAGGGUUCAUCUCUGAUCUAAGAUUCGAGAAACUAGGGCAAUAUUCGAGUGCAAUGGAGUGUGGAUCUGGAAAGAGGGGAGUGACGAGGCUCUAGGGUGUGACUUUGGUGGCGUUUGGAGAUGGCGUCGCCACCCUUAGGCGGUGGCAUUCAAGGGCGGCUGCUAGGGUUCAAGGCUUGGUCUCUGAAGGGUGGGUUG